GACGAACGCUGGCGGCGUGCUUAACACAUGCAAGUCGAACGGAAAGGCCCUGCUUUUGUGGGGUGCUCGAGUGGCGAACGAGUGAGUAACACGUGAGUAACCUGCCCUUGACUUUGGGGUAACUUCAGGAAACUGGGGCUAAUACCGGAUAGGAGCUCCUGCUGCAUGGUGGGGGUUGGAAAGUUUCGGCGGUUGGGGAUGGACUCGCGGCUUAUCAGCUUGUUGGUGGGGUAGUGGCUUACCAAGGCUUUGACGGGUAGCCGGCCUGAGAGGGUGACCGGCCACAUUGGGACUGAGAUACGGCCCAGACUCCUACGGGAGGCAGCAGUGGGGAAUAUUGCACAAUGGGCGGGAGCCUGAUGCAGCAACGCCGCGUGCGGGAUGACGGCCUUCGGGUUGUAAACCGCUUUCGCCUGUGACGAAGCGUGAGUGACGGUAAUGGGUAAAGAAGCACCGGCUAACUACGUG
rnacentral:rRNA from 1 species